GUCAAAGCCUAGAGAAAAAUGCGCAUUCAGAAGUGGGCUGCCAUCCUGCUUUUUCUGAAGUGAACAGCUGCUGGGUAUUGAAACCAGCCCUCACGGUUGGGUCCCUGCCACCAUGGCAACACUCUGGUUUCUGAGCUGGAGUGGCCAAGGCACAAUGGGGUGGUUCCAUGGCCCAGAAGCACUCUAGCUACAGAUUAGAAUGAUGACAAGAGUAAUACCUUCCUAGUGAAGAUGACUUUUAUUUCAGGACUAUAUUAAGUUUCCCAACUUCUGUCAUGAUAUAGUCCAAAGAGAACCUGGACCACGCAGACAUCAAACAGAACAUGACACUGACCCAUUCUAUCAGUGACGUUGUGCUGAUUGCACAGGACAGAUGAGAGGCUCGUAUACUAGAAGUCUUGGUGGUUAUCAAACCUGGGUCAAAGUUGAAUCACCUGAGGAUCUUUUAGAACAUACACAGUCAUAUGAUACUUCAAAAUCUGUGAUUCCAUGAAGCCAAGAGUAGCUCUUCAACAGGAAAUGAAUGAGUGCUUCAGCUUCUGAUCCCAUUAGUAAGAAAAUACAGUCUUAUGAGCAAUGAUGGAGCUGCAUCUCUUAGGGGCAUUUGAUUCCCAAGAGACCAAAGAGCAAAGAGAAUGUCAAUUUAAAAAAAUCAAAUGUUUCCAUGACUUAGCUAUUUAACUGCUUUAAAAUGAAUGAAUGCUGCUUCAAGUUCUUUCAAAUACCCCACAUCUUGGCAACAACGAAAGGAAUUAACAUGAAGAAAAUUUACAAUCUUUCAUCACAUCGAACAAUGUCCCACAUUUGAAAAGUUCACAGCACAGAUUUCUGGUUACUGAAAGAAAGGAAAGACCUUCUUUGGAUUUGAAUAAACAGAUGGACUUUCUUCUCCUUUUUCUUAUAGUGCCCGAUUUGUGUAAAGGGAGGUGGGAAGAAAACAUCUUAGCUUAAAAGAGUGUCCUAUAAAAUAAAAGGUUUCAUACUUGCCUAUAGCUAAUCUCUGAAGGUGGUUACAAAAGAGGAUUUCUGAAACAUUUUAUAUGCAAUGGCCCAGACAUUUGCAUAAGUGGUCAAACUUUCAAGAUGACAACUUAAAAAUAUAAUACUCCUUUUGGACAAGCUUGUUUUUAAAAUAGCAGCAUCAUUAACUUUGGCAAAUCCAAUUCUUAAAUAUCCUUUAAAAUAGUUGAUAAAAGAAAGAAGGUAUCAGAACUAUAUAAUGGUUGCACUGCAUUUUUUAAAACCUCUUAUUUUGAAAUAAUUUUAGAAUCACAGAAAGUUGCAAAUAUAGUAUAAGGAGUCCCAUGUGCCCUACAUGAUGACAUCUUAUAAAGGGAUAGUAUAAUAUCAAAACCAAGAAAUUGACAUUGGCACAUUACUGUUAUUUUUUUAUUAUACUUUAAGUUUUAGAGUACGUGUGCACAACGUGCAGGUUUCUUACAUAUGCAUACAUGUGCCAUGCUGGUGUGCUGCACCCAUUAACUCGUCAUUUAAUAUUAGGUAUAUCUCCUAAUGCUAUCCCUCCCCCCUCCCCCCACCCCACAACAGGCCCCAGUGUGUGAUGUUCCCCUUCCUGUGUCCAUGUGUUCUCAUUGUUCAAUUCCCACCUAUGAGUGAGAACAUGCGGUGUUUGGUUUUUUUGUCCUUGCGAUAGUUUGCUGAGAAUGAUGGUUUCCAGCUUCAUCCAUGUCCCUACAAAGGACAUGAACUCAUCAUUUUUUAUGGCUGCAUAGUAUUCCAUGGGGUAUAUGUGCCACAUUUUCUUAAUCCAGUCUAUCAUUG
rnacentral:lncRNA from 1 species